rnacentral:pre_miRNA from 1 species
UUGGUCCCUGCACUUUUUUGUUUGGUAUUGGUCCCUGCACUUUGUAAAAAUAUUGGUAUUGGUUCCUCUGUUAACUUUCUGUUAAAAAAAAAACACAAAACCAACGGAGUGCGGCCCAAUCAUUUCACGCCCACGUGGCACCAAUAUCAAUAUUUUUACAAAUUGCAGGGACAAAUACCAAUAUUUUACAAAGUGCAGGGCCCAAUACCAAUAGUUUUGGGUUUUUUUUUUACAGAAAGUUAAUAGAGGGACCAAUACCAAUAUUUUUACAAAGUGCAAGGACCAAUUCCAAACAAAAAAAAGUGUAGGGACCAAU